AUUGAACGCUGGCGGCAGGCCUAACACAUGCAAGUCGAACGAGUGGCGGACGGGUGAGUAAUGUCUGGGAAACUGCCCGAUGGAGGGGGAUAACUCCUGGGAACGGGAUCUCAUACCGCAUACCAUCUCGUGUGCCCCGAUGGGAUUAGCUAGUAGGUGGGGUAACGGCUCACCUAGGCGACGAUCACUAGCUGGUCUGAGAGGAUGACCAGCCACACUGGAACUGAGACACGGUCCAGACUCCUACGGGAGGCAGCAGUGGGGAAUAUUGCACAAUGGGCGCAAGCCUGAUGCAGCCAUGCCGCGUGUAUGAAGAAGGCCUUCGGGUUGUAAAGUACUUUCAGCGGGGAGGCGUUACCCGCAGAAGAAGCACCGGCUAACUCCGUGCCAGCAGCCGCGGUAAUAC
rnacentral:rRNA from 1 species